AUUCCUGGCUACUAGUUGCAGGACUUUCACAGUAUAUUACAGAAGAAUUUAUUACAAUUAAUAGACAACUGUAUACUGUGAUUUAACAGUGAACAGUUCCAGGAAAUUACUUUAUGUAGCAAUGCUGCAUUGUGGAAUCACAAUGAUCAUCUGUAUUUUUUAUUUACAUUUUUUUUUUAUCAAAAGUGUUGGUUAACUGUCACCAUCGCAGAGUUAAAUAUGCUAAGAGUUGAUAUCUGUCUGUGCUUGGUUGACAUAUUUUUUGUAAAGUUCAUGAGAGAUAAAACCAAUCAUAUCAUAGACUAGUAUUGCAAACAUCCCUCCUUCAUAUUAUGUUUAAAAUGGCAGUACGAUAUUUCUUUACUUUCAAUUAUAAUUUACAGUGGUAGCCAACACAGCAUAAGUAAAUCAAUAAACUGAACUAAAUUUCUCCAAACAGCACAGUGCAACAUAUUCUGAUUGUAAACACUAUUGCACCAAUUGGAAGAAAUUAAUCAGAAAUAAAUAAGCCAAAGUUCCCAUCCAAAGGGAACACUAAACACCAUAAUGGUGACUUCAAAUAAUCCCACAAUGCAGUAUGAUAUUAUGAUUUCUUUUUUCACAUUUGUUUUGUUAUGACAGAAAAUUACCUAGCCUGCAUUUAUUUUAAAGUACAAAUCUAAAUACAGUAUUUUAUAGUAAGAAAUGACUGUUAAACUUUUUACAGUGUACCAAAGAUGAUGCUCCAUCUUCACCAGUCUUCUGGAUUCUUUAGAUUAGCUGUACAUUUUUCAUCAGUGAAUACCUAAAGACUGAAUGCCUUUUAUACUUUCAGAUUCAUAAUGAUUCAAAAUUCUCUACAGACUCUUGAAAAUUGUAUUCUUCUCUUACAUUUUCCUUAGAAAAACUGUACUUGAAUGUCUGAUAAUCUUAUGUAAAUGAAAAUAGUUGAUACUGGCUGUGUGUUGGAAAUGAACAUGACUUAUUUCACCUGUCACCAAGCAGCUGGUAUUGUUUCUUGUAAUAAUCUCUGCUAAUUCGACUGCACACAAAUAUAUGCUGUAAGUUUAUUUCAAAACAUUAAUAAUGUUCCCUUGUCAAACAAGCUUAUUGACUGAGCUCUCUAUAAAUUUUCAUUACAUAUUAAAAAAAAAAAAUACAUUAUGCUGACCUCAAUGACCUUGACUUGACUGAUUAUUUUUCCAUUCAAACUGAUAAAGCUGUUUUCCCAUUCUCAAGGCCUCUAUGUCCACAUCUGCACCAGUUCCCAGGGCACGUACAGUAAAUCUCCUCAGAAAACAUGGGAAGAACGAAACAAGUUUCCAGGAGCACAUCAGAGCCAAACAUUGAAUUAAGCCGACUACACUGAUAAAGAGAUGUGUUGAUCUCUAUUCAAGAGACUGUCAAAUGUACAAUGUCAAAGAGAGGAAGUGAUGGGGAUGUUCCAGUGUCUCAACUUGGAUCAGCACAUACAUCCUCAACCUGAUCUUUCAUAUGGUUUCAAGACCACUCAGUGCAGAGAGUUGGCAUCACACUGAUGACAUGGAGAUGGCUGAAGUGAAGUUUCGUUUAAUUUGUUGAAUCCAAAAGACCUCACUGCAUUUCAUAACAAUAUGCUGU